GGGCCCGCACAAGCGGUGGAGCAUGUGGUUUAAUUCGAUGAUACGCGAGGAACCUUACCAGGGCUUAAAUGUAAGUUGCAUAGAUCAGUAGAUGGUCUUUUCUUCGGACUACUUACAAGGUUGCUGCAUGGUUGUCGUCAGCUCGUGCCGUGAGGUGUCAGGUUAAGUCCUAUAACGAGCGCAACCCCUGUCGUUAGUUACCAGCAAGUAAUGUUGGGAACUCUAGCGAAACUGCCGGUGCAAACCGUGAGGAAGGUGGGGAUGACGUCAAAUCAUCACGGCCCUUACGUUCUGGCUACACACGUGCUACAAUGGUCGGUACAGAAAGCAGCCACUAUGCGAAUAGGAG
rnacentral:rRNA from 1 species